UACGUAGGGUGCAAGCGUUGUCCGGAAUUAUUGGGCGUAAAGAGCUCGUAGGCGGUUUGUCGCGUCUGCUGUGAAAACCCGAGGCUCAACCUCGGGCCUGCAGUGGGUACGGGCAGACUAGAGUGCGGUAGGGGAGAUUGGAAUUCCUGGUGUAGCGGUGGAAUGCGCAGAUAUCAGGAGGAACACCAAUGGCGAAGGCAGAUCUCUGGGACGUUACUGACGCUGAGACGCGAAAGCGUGGGGAGCAAACAGG
rnacentral:rRNA from 1 species